AGAGUUUGAUCCUGGCUCAGAACGAACGCUAGCGGCGUGCCUAACACAUGCAAGUCGUACGAGAAAUCCCGGGCAACUGGGAGAGUAAAGUGGCGCACGGGUGAGUAACGCGUGGGUAAUCUACCUUGGAGUUCGGAAUAACACCUCGAAAGGGGUGCUAAUACCGGAUAUCGUCUUCGGGGUUUCGGCUCUGGAGAUGAAAGAUGGCUGAGGCUUGCAAGCUAUUGCUCCAAGAUGAGCCCGCGUACCAUUAGCUAGUUGGUGGGGUAACGGCCCACCAAGGCAAUGAUGGUUAGCUGGUCUGAGAGGAUGACCAGCCACACUGGAACUGAGAUACGGUCCAGACUCCUACGGGAGGCAGCAGUGAGGAAUCUUGCGCAAUGGGGGCAACCCUGACGCAGCAACGCCGCGUGAGUGAUGAAGGCCUUCGGGUCGUAAAGCUCUGUCAGGCGGGAAGAAAGUCUUCAGGGUGAACAAUCCUGGAGAUUGACGGUACCGCCAGAGGAAGCACCGGCUAACUCCGUGCCAGCAGCCGCGGUAAUACGGAGGGUGCAAGCGUUGUUCGGAAUUAUUGGGCGUAAAGAGCGUGUAGGCGGCCUCGUAAGUCAGAUGUGAAAGCCCUUGGCUUAACCAAGGAAGUGCAUUUGAAACUGCCUGGCUUGAGUACGGGAGGGGAAAGCGGAAUUCCCGGUGUAGAGGUGAAAUUCGUAGAUAUCGGGAGGAACACCGGUGGCGAAGGCGGCUUUCUGGACCGAUACUGACGCUGAGACGCGAAAGCGUGGGGAGCAAACAGGAUUAGA
rnacentral:rRNA from 1 species